UACAGAGGUCUCAAGCGUUGUUCGGAUUCAUUGGGUGUAAAGGGUGCGUAGGCGGCGCGGUAAGUCGGGUGUGAAAUCUUGGAGCUUAACUCCGAAACUGCAUUCGAUACUGCCGUGCUUGAGGACUGGAGAGGAGACUGGAAUUUACGGUGUAGCGGUGAAAUGCGUAGAUAUCGUAAGGAAGACCAGUGGCGAAGGCGGCUACCUGGACAAUUGCUGACACUCAGGCACGAAAGCGUGGGGAGCAAAAGGG
rnacentral:rRNA from 1 species